CCUUACAUCACUGAGCAUCUCUGAGGAUACGGCUGUUACAUUUCCAACUGGUUUGCAAAGGGCCAUUUUCUGUUGUUUCAAGCAGUACCUAUACAAGUGUGUGUCUCUCCUCAAUGAGUAUACACUGAAAUAACAACACGUUUGCAAGGGAACCUAUAGUGUUGACUACAUUGCCCAGGGAAACAGCUGAUUUACCAUCUUAAGGGAUCAGAGCUAAGACAUGGAGAGGACAGAGAAUAAAGAAUCCACCAUCUCUCCACAAAAACAGACAGUCAAAAAUAGAUCCAAGUCCACAGAUGAGGUACAGCAAGCCAAAAAGGCCUUUCAAACACCACAGAAAUCUCUCCCGGCUAAACCAGAGGCUGAAAAACUACAGGAGACCUCAGAACUGAGUGCCUCGUCGGAGGAGUUCAAAUGAUUGCUGGAUUCUAACUUUUGGGGUUUUGAGAUUUAGAUCAACUGGAAUUAUGAGUAACAAGGGAUUGUUCAGUGCGUCUGUGCAUACCAUUUUGACUUAGUUUUACUCAGUUUAGUUGGCACAGUCUCAAGUGAUUUGAAGGAAAACCAACAAUAAUCAUGUGUAGCUCAUUUGAUUUGUAGGAGUCUGAUAAUGUUUGUGAAAUAAGUGCAGAACUGGAUAUCACAGUGAAUUGAAUCUAUAGAUGUUGUGAGCCAAUGUCUAAUUUAGAGUGACAUGUUUCUUUGUGUUAGAUGUUUGUGAAUGGUAUUGAGCCAAAACCCUUCUCCAGGCACCUUUGUGUCCCUAGUGCAACACACUCUCAUGGAGAAAUCAUACAGAUUUGUACAAGUUGGCUAAAUCAUAUGAAAUGGUAAGAGUUGGGUCAUAUGAAGAAUUCAUAUGACUUUGCAACAGCCAAUCAAGUAACAUACUCUUUAUACUUCAAAUCAUCCUUAAAGGCUCUACUCUAUAGUUAGGUUUAGAUAUGGAGUUUGGGCAUAAAAUUAAUUAGCAUGUACACAAUGUCUAACGUGGAACUUUCGCUUACUCCCACAUUACACAUCCAGGUAUUUGCACAUCUAGAAUAUGUAUGAAUUCACACAAAACUAACUUGUACAAUUUCAUACGAUUUAGAUAACUUGUAGCCAACUCAUAUGACUUGAAGGCCAUUUUCUUUUUUCCUCUGUAAUAAUUUUUCCACUGUUUUUGAAAUUAGUUAAGGAGUUAGGUAAGUUUCUUUGUAUUUUGGUUUAAUUUUAUUUUCUUGAUUAGGGAAUUCAUAUUCUUCUUGGGAAUUACAUGGUCUAUUGUUUGUUAUUUUGGCCAUACUCAACUCUGAAAUGGUUUACUAUCUCUGAAGUUAAGACCAACGGCUUUGAGUGUCACGUUUAUGUUGCCCCUAGACGGGACAUAACAUAAUUAAUA